GUCUUCUUCUUCUUCUUCUUGCAUUUAAAAUUUCUUAUGUGUGAUUUAUUAUCGUUGAUUGAGUUCAAAGUUUAGCAGAAUAUGAGUUACCAUUUUGAUGAAAUAUUGGGUACGAGUUGAAGUGUGUGAUGGAGAACAACAUGUCCGAGUUAUACUAUUUGAGGCGGCUAAAUAACUAUGAGACUGCAACGUGCAAGACUACAUAUAAUCAACCAUGAUAAAUAUAUGAACUCUAUUUAUACCUACACACCUAAACGCCAAAUGAACGCCGUCGCAUAGGUUAGUUUUGAAAGAUAAUGCGCCCAUCAUGCUGCUGAGAAAACUGGACCCAUCAAAUGACUUAUGCAAUGAGACAUAGUUGAUUUGUAGAGGCUUUGACGAGAAUGUCAUACAUGCAGAAAAAAUAACAGGUAAAUAUGCUAAAAACCAAAUGUUUACUCCAAACAAUACAACUAUAACCACCCCCUUUUCCUUUUUAAAUAGAUAUUACUUACGACUUGAAGUGUGUGGUGGAGAACAAUGUACUCGAGUUAUACUAUUUGAAACCGCUAAAUAUUUACCAGACUACAGAGUGCAAGACUACAUAGAAUCGAUCUUAGUAAAGAUAUGAUUUGUAUUUAUACCUAAACACCUUAACGCCAAAUGAACUCAGCCGCAUAGGUACGAUGACUAAUUCAUCGUAACUUUUACAGUUAUCUUAUUGUGACACUUUAUAGCACAAAAGAGAAGAAAAGAAUUAAACGAUUACAUGUACAUAACAAUUGAUAAUUCAUUGAAUUUAUUCAUUAGAUUUAUUUUGAAAGAAAACGCACUCGUCAUGCAGCUGAGAAAACUGGACCCCUCAAAUGGCUUAUGUAAUGCUACAUGGUUGAUUUGUGGAGGCUUUGACGAGAAGGUCAUACAUGCAUAGAAACAAAUAUUGUCACAAACCUAAUGUUCACUCUAAAAAUACAAAUAUCACCCCCCCUCCCCCGCGAAAAUGAAAUAUAAGCUUUCAAAUUUAUUCAGAAACAAUUUCCAAUACAUCUAUGUUUUUGUAUGAUGAAAAAUAAAGUUAAAGGUCAAACGAUAUCAAAUGUAGGGGUAUACCUACCAUUACAUGCUUUCUCGCAUGACAAACUACAUGUUGCACUAUCUAGAGGAAUAUAUAUGCCCAAAAAAAAAGUGCAUGUCAUUAGUGAACAACUAGAUUGAUGCACCGGUUCAUACACAAGAAUUACUAUCUACAAGAAAUUACUAGGUGAGAUUUGAUUAAUAUUAAAACUGUAACAAAUCAAACAGGAAAAAUCAUACACCACACAUGUAGCUAAUGGAAAUUAUAUUGGAUGAAUUCUUUGGUUUGGUGAAAGAGGAGACGAUCUGAAAAACAUCAAACAAUUACCAUAUAAGACACUACUUUUGUAUGUAUAAAGUUAUUCAAAUACAGGGUACACUAAAUUUCAAUUAUUAAAAGGUAACUUACAAUUCAUGACACGACAUAACUAAGAGGACAAACUGUUAAUUUGUGCACAAUUACUUACUAACAAGUUGCCUAAUAACAAUUUAAGAAUAUGAAGUUUGUCACUACA